rnacentral:rRNA from 1 species
UACGGAGGGGGCUAGCGUUGUUCGGAAUUACUGGGCGUAAAGCGCACGUAGGCGGCUUUGUAAGUUAGAGGUGAAAGCCCAGGGCUUAACCCUGGAAUUGCCUUUAAGACUGCAUCGCUAGAAUUGUGGAGAGGUAAGUGGAAUUCCGAGUGUAGAGGUGAAAUUCGUAGAUAUUCGCAAGAACACCAGUGGCGAAGGCGGCUCACUGGCCCGAUACUGACGCUGAGGCACGAAAGCGUGGGGAGCAAACAGG